AUUCUCUGGUUGGUUCUUCAAAGUGGGGUGAAAAUAAUUCCAUGGCAACUUUGCAGGAAGCUUCUUGAUUUAUAAUCUUCCGGUUCAAUCAAAGAGGCUCCGAAGAUAGGUUCUGCUACAGAGGUGAUGUUAACCUCUCAUAGCGGCCAGCACAGCCACCAGCAUGCGGCUAGCGGUCGGAACACCCAUCGGCAUGCGGCCGGCGGCCGACAUAACCACCAGCCGUGUGCUAGUGACUGA